GUUUGUUUAACUAUGGCAUUAAGAAGUUUAGUAUCUUUUUAGUUGCAUAAAAUAUGCCUAUUUUUAUUAAAGAGUGGCUACUCCUUUAUUUAUUAGCAAUUAAUCUUUUAUUUAGAUUAACGUCUUUUAAGAAAAAGGUCCUUAGAAGGGGAUAGGACACAGUGCCAGCAUCCGCGGUUAAUCUGUUUUCUUUGCUUUUACUUGAAAAUAGUUUGACAGUUUAUUAACAAGGUUUGGUGAAAUUUUCUUGCUACUUUAUUGUUUUGUCAUGUUUUAUAAAUUUAGUUUUAGCGACAGGGAUUAGAUACCCCAUUAGUUACUAAGGUAUUUUAAUUUUAGUUAUAUAACUAAAAUAGUUUGGCAGUGAGUUACUCCUACCGGGGGAAGGUGUGUUUUAAAGGAUGAUCCGCCAAUUAAUUAACCUGCUCUCUGUUGGUGUAUAUCUGGUUUGAUAUUAUUGUUUAAUAACUUGAAUUUGUGUAGUAUGUGUUUUUAUUAAGCCAAGUCUAUGUGCUGCAUGAGCAGGGUUUCAUGCGUUACUUUAAUUUAAAAUUGGGGCUGUGAGGCUUCAUUACAUUCGGGACUCGAAAGUAAUAGUAGAUGACUUAGCUACUGUGAAAAGGGUUUAACUCAGGUACACACCGCCCGUCACCCUCGACGUAUGUUGAGGUAAGUCGUAACAUGGUAACCCCAAAUGAAUUUGGGGUUAAUUGCCUAAUUUA
rnacentral:ncRNA from 1 species